rnacentral:rRNA from 1 species
UGGGCUAACACGUGCUACUGGCUUGGUACAAGAGAUGCGAAUCAGUGAUGUCGGAGCGAAUCUCAUAAAACCGGUCUCAGUUCGGAUUGUACGCUGCACUCGCCUACAUGAAGUUGGAGUUGCUAGUAUCGCGGAUCAGAAUGCCGCGGUGAAUGCGUUCCCGGGUCUUGUACACACCGCCCGUCACACCAUGGAAGUUGACAGUACCCGAUGCCUGGUGAGCUAACCGCUUGGGAGAAACAGUCCAAUGUGACGUUGAGACUGGUGUGAAGUCCUAACCUGUAACCGUAUCGGA